rnacentral:rRNA from 1 species
GGGGGCAACCCUGAUCCAGCCAUGCCGCGUGAGUGAUGAAGGCCACUAGGGUUGUAAAGCUCUUUUGUGCGGGAAGAUAAUGACAGGUACCAGCAAGAAUAAGCCCCGGCUAACUUCGUGCCAGCAGCCGCAGUAAUAAGCUUGAUUCGCCCGGUCAAGG